UACGUAGGUGGCAAGCGUUGUCCGGAUUUACUGGGCGUAAAGAGCGCGCAGGCGGUCGGAUAAGUCGAAUGUGAAAGCCCCCGGCUCAACUGGGGAGGGUCAUUCGAUACUGUUCGACUCGAAGGCAGGAGAGGGAAGUGGAAUUCCCGAUGUAGUGGUGAAAUGCGUAGAUAUCGGGAGGAACACCAGUGGCGAAGGCGACUUCCUGGCCUGUUCUUGACGCUGAGGCGCGAAAGCUAGGGGAGCAAACGGG
rnacentral:rRNA from 1 species